rnacentral:rRNA from 1 species
AGAACAAGUGCUAGUUGAAUAAGCUGGCACCUUGACGGUACCUAACCAGAAAGCCACGGCUAACUACGUGCCAGCAGCCGCGGUAAUACGUAGGUGGCAAGCGUUAUCCGGAAUUAUUGGGCGUAAAGCGCGCGCAGGUGGUUUCUUAAGUCUGAUGUGAAAGCCCACGGCUCAACCGUGGAGGGUCAUUGGAAACUGGGAGACUUGAGUGCAGAAGAGGAAAGUGGAAUUCCAUGUGUAGCGGUGAAAUGCGUAGA